rnacentral:rRNA from 1 species
AGGACGAACGCUGGCGGCGUGCCUAAUACAUGCAAGUCGAACGGGUUUAGACCCGUGGCGAACGGGUGAGUAACGUGUAGGAAGUUGCUCCGAAGUCGGGUAUAACCAGCCGAAAGGCUGAAUAACACCCGAUAUGCCGAAAGGUGAAAGUUUACGCUUCGGAAGACGCCUGCGUCCUAUCAGUUAGUUGGUGAGGUAACGGCUCACCAAGACGAUGACGGGUAGCUGGUCUGAGAGGAUGAUCAGCCACACUGGGACUGAGACACGGCCCAGACUCCUACGGGAGGCAGCAGUAGGGAAUCUUGCGCAAUGCGCGAAAGCGUGACGCAGCAACGCCGCGUGGGGGAAGAAGGCCCUCGGGUUGUAAACCCUUCAGUUGGGACGAAGCUUCGUCGGUUAAUAGCCGACUGGAGUGACGGUACCUUCACAAGUAAGCACCGGCUAACUACGUGCCAGCAGCC